CCAUCCUGACCAACAAAAUUAUAAGGUACUGCACCUUAUUUUAAUUAUUAUAAUAGAAGAUUCCUCACAGUUACUAAUUUAUGCAUUAGUCAAGUAAAGGAAUCUGAUGAGUAAUGCCAUUUAUAGUUUAGAAAUAUCAACUUGUCCCUUACAGAUGGCUGUAUCAGUGAAUUAGUAUAGGUCUAAAAUGUUAACUUUUGUAAAAGUCACCUACAAUUACUUAAAAACAUAUAAUAAUAAGUUUGCAGUCUUUUGUUUAGGGGUCUUAUUGGCUUAGUAUCUAGAAUAUCUGUAGCUGUGCUUUGGCUAUUAGUUGUAAAGCUUUAUGGUAACAGAAUGGAAAUUUGAGGUUUAAUUAUCUCUGCUUCUUAAGCAGGAUAUUUGAACUAUUUUUUACAAUACUGAACAAUAUUUUACACCCAAAUUGAAUAACUUUAAUUCAGUACUGCAGUGUUUUCAAUAUAGAUAUAUAGAUAUAGCUAGUACACUUGGAAACUGAAGGAUUAAUCCACCACGACAUGAAAUGAGAGGAACUGAAUGUUGGAGAUCUGCCUUUUGGAGAAUGAAGAAGGGAAUGCAGGAAGACAAGCCAUCUGGGUCAUGCACUCAGUAUGCAUGUUUGCAGAAUCUAAACCUGUAUGACUCCAGCUUGCUUUUGAGUAAAGUCUGCUUCUGCUGUUCACAUUUUACUUUAGUAGACUAGUGCCUAGCUCACAUGAUUUCAAGUUUAAUAUGAUGAAUUGCACCUGUCCAAAUGGUGAAUCAAGAACAACUGAAACAAGAUUUGGCCCAAUGCCUUAGAAAGUUACUAGAUGAACAUUUAUCUCUCUUUAUAAAAUAUUUCCUUGUACAGCUCUGCAUUUUUGCCUUGCUAUAGUACUUCUUGCCAUAUAUGUGUAUGCUUGUAAGCAUGGAUACAGGCUGCUUUUUAUCUUUGUUUUUUUACCUUCAACUAUGAUCUUUUCAGUGUGUCUGCUCAUACAAGCAAAAUGUAAACUGAAUAGCUCAGUUUAACAUCCAGACUCUUAGCUAUGCUUACCUUGAGGAUCUAUAGUAUGAAAUCCUCAUCCUAAGUGCUUGCAAGUAAAUAUGCACAGUCCCUUCAAAACAAACAAAAAAAACCAAACACACACACAUACACGAAACAAACAAAACAAAACCUCAAAACCCAAAUCCAGAGAUUAAACCAGUCUGAAUGAAAAACACAUCACCCUGAGUUUCUUGGGGCUUGAUUCCAUAGUAUAUCUCGUCAUCUCACCAGCUUUCUAGUCUUCCUAGUGUCUUCCAGAUAGCUGUUGCUAUAAUUGAUGUUUAAAAAAAAAGUAAUUCUCUGUAAUUGGGUCAUAGUGCUUUUCAUCAUUACAGAAUCACAUAAUUCUAGGGGUUGGAAGGGACCUCAGGGAAUCAUUAAGUCCAAUUCCCCCGCUAAAGCAUGUUCACCACCAUAGAUCACAAUUCUUUCAUAGUACUUUGCACAUGAAGUUUUUGAUAUUAUUUCAUUUUUUUCACCUGAAGAAGCCGAGGAACAGGAAUGACCAAAGUUUGCUCCCUUGAGGAGACAAGUGAGUGAGCCACAAACCCAUCUGCCCAUCUGCGUAAUCUCCAGGGAGAAAUGUACAAACAGCUGGGAGAGUAAGGAGGAACUGCAUUGUGCAGCAGGAGUUCUCUGGAGCAGAAUUUUGGGGUGCUGGAGUAGAUCUCAGUAGCAACAUGAAUCUCUUCUGUUUCUCUCUGGAGAAUAUUAUGAGGGUUGGUUGGUGUGCGCAGCAGCUGAUGUACCUUCCUGUGAGCCACAAAUGCCUCUUCUGCCAGAAACUCGGGAAGCGAGGGAGAUCUUCUGGAGUCAAGCUGUGCUUUUGUGAAUCUGUACACAUUAAGCUGACGAAUAAAGUAUUUCAUACUUUCUGUCCCAAAUACUCUCAAAGAUCCUUUCUUUCCCAGUACUUCGAUCUGAAACAUUGCUUGGUCAGUUACAACGCAGCUUCCAUUCUGACCCCACCAAAUGCUCUUAAAUUGGUGAUUUUCAGCCAGUACCCAGAGUUUCUCAGGAAAAGUGAGGGCUGCAGAGAUAAUAGUGCCUCUGCGUGUGCUCUCCUUGUAAGAAGUAGGGGCUAUACUUCUGAUUUCCUCGUGAUGAGGAUAAGUUAGUGCAUCCUUUUCAUCCAUAUUUGAUGCCCAGACUGUUCCUUUAUCCUGAUCCAGAAGAUCAGAAGGAGAGCCUGGGAAUGCAGCCGGAGCCUCUGGAUCAGAACCAGAAGUUCCUGUCCUGCAGACAGCUUCCCUUACUGUCUCAGUCUGUGGUUUGUGCUUGCAGCCAAUUCUGCAGGGAACUACCUUUUACCCUCCCAGCUAGCAAGUGAAAUCCCACAGACCUGUCAAGGGGCUACAGUGGGAGAGGCUCAAAAAUCACCAUGGUGCCCAUGUGUCAUCAUGGUGACAUCACUGCAGUGUCUAUGGCCCAUCUAGUGCAGCAGUCAGAGCAGGCGUUACUGACCUGCCCUUGUUGCUGGUCCUACACAGAGCCAUGGGUAUUUUCACUUGAAUCAAGGAGCAAAUAAAACUGUACCUGAAUGGGAUCACUCCUUGUCCAGACCUUGCUUUCCCCUCCCUGUUUGGUUCCCUGAAUUUCUCCCUUCUGGACUCCACGGUGUCCUUCGGGUUCUCCAGAUGGGAGUGGAAAUCAUUUUCUGUGCAACAGAAGAAAAUAGCAGUCUCUUCCCAGUCUGACACAAUUUCUUGCAAAUGUUCUUUUAUUUCAAUUGCACAGCUUCUGUAAGGGAGUAGCUGUGUGCACAGGCACUGCUCUGCCAUGUCAGUGGUCUCCCAGAAGCUGCUCUGUAGGUCCAACUAGAAAAGACACAAAGUACAUUUUGGUGUUUGAAUGAACAGGAGAUAUACAACUCGUCUGUUCUUCUAUUUGGUUCCUGUGUUUUUAUUUGAUAUUUUAGAAAUUUAGAAAGCAGUCUCACAAAAUCAGUGAUGUUCUUGAAGCCAUCUGAAUUGCAGUCCUCGCUACAAAAUCAAGUGCUUUAUCUUUUAUUCAUCCUAACAAAGCUGAUAAAGCAUGGGAUAGACGAGUGGACAGUGAGGUGGAUUGAGAACUGGUUGACUGGCCAAGCUCAGAGUGUGAUGAUCAGCAGUGCAGAGUCUGGUUGGAGACCUGUGACAAGCAGUGCUCCCUAGGGGUUGGUGCUGGGUCCAGUCUUGUUCAGUGUCUUCAUUGUCGACCUUGAUGAGGGGAUAGUGUUCAACCUCAGUAAAUAUACUGACAAUACAAAGCUGGGAGUGGCUGACAUGCCAGAAGACUGUGCUGCCAUUCAGCAAGACCUGGUGGACAGGCUGGAGAGCUGGGCACUAAGAAACCAGAUGGGGUUUAACAAAAGCAAGAAUAGAGUCUUGCACCUGGGAAGGAGUAACCACAAGUAACAGUACAGGUUGAGGCAUGAGCUGCUGGAGAGGAGCUCUGUGCAGAAGGACCUGGGGGUCCUGGUGGAUGACAGGUUGGCCGUGAGCCAGCUGUGCCGUGGUGACCAAGAAAGCCAAUGGGAUUCCGGAGUGCAUUAAAAGGAGUGUGGUCAGUAGGUCAAACAUUAUGUAUCAGCAGCCUAGCUUCGAAGCUGCAUCUGUAUUUAUCUUCUGUAGAGGAAUAAAUGUUUUUAUAGAAUAUAUCACAUUAAUUUCAAUUGCAUUUUUCUGCUGUAAGUCAUACUGCGAAAAAUUUUAUUUAUUCCUUAAUUAAUGCAGUUAAAGUCAAUGAUUAAAA